ACAGUGUUUUAAAGUUAAAAGAAACAAAACCACAUUAAUACCAUAUUAACUGCCCCUGUGUGUAUUAACAUCCUAGCUGAAGAAAUUGUGCAAAAUCAAUGUAUAAGCCGCUGCUAAUAGUUGGGAAAUUACAGUAGGUGGUGUAUAUGCCAGGC